GGAUCCCGAUCCUAUUCAGGCCGGGAAUCUUUUGUUUUGGUAGAGUACUCCACCUAUUCGGUAAAAUGUCUGAAUGAGAUCUAGUCUUGUUUCGUCGUUUUGGACCGGAGCACACGCGGCGGCUCUUGUGGCCACCGAGUCGCCUCCGGUCGGACAAGAGCUGAGCAUUAGGCUCGGCUUGGUCAAGGCGGUGCCGUCACGCCUCGGUUGGACUCAGAAACGCGGCAUCUUGCUACAGCACCACCUCCGU
rnacentral:lncRNA from 1 species